rnacentral:lncRNA from 1 species
CAGGAUGUGAUCUGUCCAUACGAUGCAAUGGUAUUGGUCCAUACACAGGACCAAAGCUCUGACCACACUAUAACAUGCAUGACACAUGCUACCACAUGGAUGACACAUGAAAAUAUGCUCAGUGAAAGACACAGAAGGCCACAGAGUGUGUGAUUCCACUUGUAUGAAAUGUCUGGAACAGACAAAUCCACGGGACAGAGCACAGGGCGUCUUCCUGGGGGGAGGAAACUUCCCUGAAUUAGCUAGAGGUGAUGGCUGCCCACCCUGGUGAAGAUGCUAAAACACUAAGCUGUACCCUUUAAAGUGGUGAACUUCAUGGCAUGUGACUUAUAUCUCAAUAAAAUUGUUAAAAACAGUAAUCGGCCGGGCGCAGUGGCUCACGCCUGUAAUCCCAGCACUUUGGGAGG